rnacentral:rRNA from 1 species
AUUGAACGCUGGCGGCAGGCCUAACACAUGCAAGUCGAGCGGUAACAUUUCUAGCUUGCUAGAAGAUGACGAGCGGCGGACGGGUGAGUAAUGCUUGGGAACAUGCCUUGAGGUGGGGGACAACCAUUGGAAACGAUGGCUAAUACCGCAUAAUGUCUACGGACCAAAGGGGGCUUCGGCUCUCGCCUUUAGAUUGGCCCAAGUGGGAUUAGCUAGUUGGUGAGGUAAAGGCUCACCAAGGCGACGAUCCCUAGCUGGUUUGAGAGGAUGAUCAGCCACACUGGAACUGAGACACGGUCCAGACUCCUACGGGAGGCAGCAGUGGGGAAUAUUGCACAAUGGGCGCAAGCCUGAUGCAGCCAUGCCGCGUGUGUGAAGAAGGCCUUCGGGUUGUAAAGCACUUUCAGUCAGGAGGAAAGGUUAGUAGUUAAUACCUGCUAGCUGUGACGUUACUGACAGAAGAAGCACCGGCUAACUCCGUGC